rnacentral:rRNA from 1 species
CCUACGGGGGGCAGCAGUGGGGAAUAUUGCACAAUGGGGGAAACCCUGAUGCAGCGACGCCGCGUGAGUGAAGAAGUAAUUCGUUAUGUAAAGCUCUAUCAACAGGGAAGAAAAUGACGGUACCUGAGUCAGAAGCCCCGGCUAACUACGUGCCAGCAGCCGCGGUAAUACGUAGGGGGCAAGCGUUAUCCGGAUUUACUGGGUGUAAAGGGAGCGUAGACGGCAGUGCAAGUCUGGAGUGAAAGGCGGGGGCUCAACCCCCGGACUGCUCUGGAAACUGUACGGCUGGAGUGCAGGAGAGGUAAGUGGAAUUCCUAGUGUAGCGGUGAAAUGCGUAGAUAUCAGGAGGAACACCAGUGGCGAAGGCGGCUUACUGGACUGUAACUGACGUUGAGGCUCGAAAGCGUGGGGAGCAAACAGGAUUAGAUACCCUAGUAGUC